rnacentral:rRNA from 1 species
AUUGAACGCUGGCGGCAUGCUUUACACAUGCAAGUCGAGCGGCAGCGCGGGGGCAACCCUGGCGGCGAGCGGCGAACGGGUGAGUAAUGCAUCGGAACGUAUCCUCGAGUGGGGGAUAACCCAGCGAAAGUUGGGCUAAUACCGCAUGAGCUCUGAGGAGGAAAGCGGGGGACCUGCGAGGGCCUCGCGCUGGAGGAGCGGCCGAUGUCCGAUUUGCUAGUUGGUGGGGUAAAGGCUUACCAAGGCGACGAUCGGUAGCUGGUCUGAGAGGAUGAUCAGCCACACUAAGACUUAGACACGGCCCAGACUCCUACGGGAGGCAGCAGUGGGGAAUUUUGGACAAUGGAGGCAACCCUAAUCCAGCCAUGCCGGGUGAGUGAAGAAGGCCUUCGGGUUGUAAAGCUCAUUCGGACGGAAUGAAAUGGGCGGGACUAAUACUCCGAUCUGAUGACGGUACCCUAAGAAGAAGAACCGGCUAACUACGUG